GUGCCAGCCGCCGCGGUAAUACGGAAUGUGCAAACGUUAUUCGGAAUCACUGGGCUUAAAGAGUCCGUAGGCGGCCUGUUAGGUGAGGUGUGAAAUCCCCCGGCUCAACCGAGGAAUUGCGCUUCAAACCGGCAGGCUUGAGGAGGAUAGAGGUGGGCGGAACUGAUGGUGGAGCGGUGAAAUGCGUUGAUAUCAUCAGGAACACCGGAGGCGAAAGCGGUCCACUGGGUCCUUUCUGACGCUGAGGGACGAAAGCUAGGGGAGCGAACGGGAUUAGAUACCCGCGUAGUCC
rnacentral:rRNA from 1 species